rnacentral:rRNA from 1 species
GGGCCCGCACAAGCGGAGGAACAUGUGGUUUAAUUCGAUGAUACGCGAGGAACCUUACCCGGGCUAGAACGCCGUCCGACGGUGGCCGAAAGGUCACCUCCCUUCGGGGCGGGCGGCGAGGUGCUGCAUGGUUGUCGUCAGCUCGUGCCGUGAGGUGUCGGGUUAAGUCCCAUAACGAGCGCAACCCCUACUGCCAGUUGCCAGCGCGUAAAGGCGGGGACUCUGGCGGAACUGCCGGCGUAAGCCGCGAGGAAGGCGGGGAUGACGUCAAAUCAGCACGGCCCUUACGUCCGGGGCUACACACGUGUUACAAUGGCCGGUACAGAGGGCAGCCACCCCGCGAGGGGGCGCGAAUCUCCAAAGCCGGUCCCAGUUCGGAUCGGAGUCUGCAACCCGACUCCGUGAAGUUGGAUUCGCUAGUAAUCGCGCAUCAGCAACGGCGCGGUGAAUACGUUCCCGGGCCUU